rnacentral:tRNA from 1 species
UGAUAGGGAAGGUAAUGGGCUUUCCUGACGGUUAAGAAUCCGUCAGUGAAAGUUCGAAUCUUUCCCUGACAG